AUACUGUGAUGAUCCUAAACAACGAACUUGAAUCAUAACAUGUGACAAUUUUUCGAGCUUUUUAAUCCUGAUUAUA
rnacentral:snoRNA from 1 species